GUUAUUUUUUAGCUGUGGGAAUGGACUGAACCGAACCUUACGAACUGUGCUUAUUCUGGUCAGUGUGCUGUGUUUUCAGACACUAGAUACGUUUUUAAGGAAGUAUAAAUAGACGCCACCACUGCGUUAAUGAGGCCCAUGAGUGAGUUCAGCAUCCAGCAGAUGGCAGCAGGAGGCUGACGCUUCGAGGUCUCACAUCGCUGAGGUAUUGAUGAUUGACACACGAAACGUGACGUGUCCACAGCCACCCGCUCGCCCACUCUCAGGGCGGAAGCGACCCCGGGCCCCCUCUGAAGUGCAGCAUUUCAGUGCCCGUCUAAGAGAGCGGCAGCCGUCCCCGAGGGUUGUCAUUUUCCACUUUGUGAGUGGGUGGCUGUCGGCCGCGGUUUGUCGCCCAGUGGACCUGGACCGAGACGCUCGUUGAAGGUCCCCGUGUCCGGGCCCAGACGAGGGAGGAAGACGUGCAGCCGUGGGGGCCAACGGGCCCUGUGGUCGCGCAUUCCUGAACUCCUCCGGCACUGCCCACACACGCUUGACCAAAAUAUCUGAUCCAGCCGUGCAAAGCGCUGCAUGCGGCCACAACAUCACGUCUCCAUUCACGCAUAUAGAUGUGCGUGAUGUAUUGUAAACACCUGAGAAAUCAUAAACUAAAACUACACACGGGUUGAUAAUCUCAGGUGUACAUCCCUUUUUGACUUUGCACAAGGAAUGAUUUAGAUUGCUUUGCAUUGCUGGAGUUAAUGCACCCUCCUGGUUUAUGACUCUGCUAAAAGAUAGGUACUGAAAAUUGUUGUGAGUUAAAAAUAUUCAGGGAUGUUAAAUGUUUGAAAUAAGGAAAUUGUGUAGAUUUAGUUCUCAUGCAUUUUUACUCAAUGGUGCACUGAUUAUUUAUUUUGGAUACAUAUUUGGAACAGAAAUUGUUGCAACAUUCUCAUUUAAAUAUUAUGCAUACUUUUACUGGGGAGCUUAUUUAAGGUUUUUGCUAAUUAAAAAUACCAGACAUCAUAUUGUGUGCAAUAAAACACGCAUCCUGUUUUCUG